AUUGAACGCUGGCGGCAGGCCUAACACAUGCAAGUCGAACGAGUGGCGGACGGGUGAGUAAUGUCUGGGAAACUGCCUGAUGGAGGGGGAUAACUACUGGAAACGGUAGCUAAUACCGCAUACCAUCAGAUGUGCCCAGAUGGGAUUAGCUUGUUGGUGGGGUAACGGCUCACCAAGGCGACGAUCCCUAGCUGGUCUGAGAGGAUGACCAGCCACAAUGGAACUGAGACACUGUCCAGACUCCUACGGGAGGUAGCAGUGGGGAAUAUUGCACAAUGGGCGCAAGCGUGAUGCAGCAAUGCCGCGUGGAUGAAGAAGGCCGUCGGGUGGUAAAGUACUGUCAGCGGGUAGGCGUUACCCGCAGAAGAAGCACCGGCUAACGCCGUGCCAGCCGCCGCGGUAAUUC
rnacentral:rRNA from 1 species